UACGAAGGGGGCUAGCGUUGUUCGGAAUUACUGGGCGUAAAGCGCACGUAGGCGGAUCAAUAAGUCAGGGGUGAAAUCCCGGGGCUCAACCCCGGAACUGCCUUUGAUACUGUUGAUCUUGAGUUCGGAAGAGGUGAGUGGAAUUGCGAGUGUAGAGGUGAAAUUCGUAGAUAUUCGCAGGAACACCAGUGGCGAAGGCGGCUCACUGGUCCGAUACUGACGCUGAGGUGCGAAAGCGUGGGGAGCAAACAGG
rnacentral:rRNA from 1 species